AGACCCUCCGAGAAAUCUACGAGACCCUCCGAGAAAUCUACGAGACCCUCCGAGAACUCUACGAGACCCUCCGAGAACUCUACGAGACUAACAACUAAUUUAUAAUGAACAGAAAUCCUUCUCAGAGAAAAUACUUUCUUUGCCUACAGGUAAUCACAUCACAACAUAACAAAACCAACGAGAAUCACCGAGAACCUACGAGAAUCACCGAGAACCUACAAGAAUCACCGAGAACCUACGAGAAUCACCGAGAACCUACGAGAAUCAACAAAAAAAUCAACGAGGCUGGUGCAGAGCGCGCACCGCCUGUCAGUAUGGCCGUGUCGGCGCAACCACAUCAAUUAUCCAGAGAAAGUAGAAUAAGUUUGGUUAAUUCACUUGAUUGUCCUAAAAAUCAGUUUAUUAAUCAUCAGUAAUUGAUUAUUUUAAGUUUAACACGAUGUAAAAUUAACGUUAUCAUUGUAAUUUCAAUACUUAACCUAAAACUUGUAAGCACGUGCUCGUGCGCCGAGUCCUAUAAAUACGCCCGCACUGUAGGCAAUCGAGGCAGUUGCACUCCGAUCGCCGUACAGUACGGACCUCUCUGGGAGUUGAAUAAACUAAGUUUACAGUA